rnacentral:rRNA from 1 species
AUUGAACGCUGCGGCAUGCUUUACACAUGCAAGUCGAACGGCAGCGCGGGCUUCGGCCUGGCGGCGAGUGGCGAACGGGUGAGUAAUGCAUCGGAACGUGCCCAGUAGUGGGGGAUAGCCCGGCGAAAGCCGGAUUAAUACCGCAUACGACCUGAGGGUGAAAGCGGGGGACCGAAAGGCCUCGCGCUAUUGGAGCGGCCGAUGUCGGAUUAGCUAGUUGGUGGGGUAAAGGCUUACCAAGGCGACGAUCCGUAGCUGGUCUGAGAGGACGACCAGCCACACUGGGACUGAGACACGGCCCAGACUCCUACGGGAGGCAGCAGUGGGGAAUUUUGGACAAUGGGGGCAACCCUGAUCCAGCCAUGCCGCGUGCGGGAAGAAGGCCUUCGGGUUGUAAACCGCUUUUGUUCGGGAAGAAAUCCUCUGGGCUAAUACCCCGGGGGGAUGACGGUACCGGAAGAAUAAGCACCGGCUAACUACGUG